AUGGAGUCUCGCUCUUGUUGCCUAGGCUGAAGUGCAGUGGCACGAUCUCGGCUCACUGCAGCCUCCGCCUCCCGGGUUCAAGCGAUUCUCCUGCCUCAGCCUCCCAAGUGGCUGGAAUUACAGAGAAAGGAGAGGAAGAUUUGGACACAGACACACAGAGAAGAGGUCAAAGUGAAGACAGAACCAGAGAUUGGAGUUUUGCUGCCAUAAGCCAAGAAACCAAGAGCCAAGAAACACCAGAAGGUAGGAGAAAGGCAAGGAAGAACUUCCCCUCUAAAGCCUUCAAAGAAAAUAUAACCCUGCCAGCACCUUGAUUUCAGACUUCUGGCUCCAGAACUGUGAGAGAAUAAAUGUCUGUUAUUUUAAGCUA